CACUCGUAAAAAUUUUGGUCUUCAACAGCUUGUGCCAGUUCUUCCCAUACUUACCAAACACUAUAUGCCGAAUUUUGUUUGAUGGGGGAGGGUGACAGGAGAUAGGAAGAGCACGCGU